ACCUGGGAAGCUCAGUCAAUAGAGCCUCAGACUCUUAAUCUCAAGGUUGUGGGUUCGAGCCCCACGUUGGGCA